GAUGAACGCUGGCGGCGUGCCUAAUACAUGCAAGUCGAGCGAACAGACGAGGAGCUUGCUCCUCUGACGUUAGCGGCGGACGGGUGAGUAACACGUGGAUAACCUACCUAUAAGACUGGGAUAACUUCGGGAAACCGGCGCUAAUACCGGAUAAUAUAUUGAACCGCAUGGUUCAAUAGUGAAAGACGGUUUUGCUGUCACUUAUAGAUGGAUCCGCGCCGCAUUAGCUGGUUGGUAAGGUAACGGCUUACCAAGGCGACGAUGCGUAGCCGACCUGAGAGGGUGAUCGGCCACACUGGAACUGAGACACGGUCCAGACUCCUACGGGAGGCAGCAGUAGGGAAUCUUCCGCAAUGGGCGAAAGCCUGACGGAGCAACGCCGCGUGAGUGAUGAAGGUCUUCGGAUCGUAAAACUCUGUUAUUAGGGAAGAACAAAUGUGUAAGUAACUAUGCACGUCUUGACGGUACCGAAUCAGAAAGCCACGGCUAACUACGUG
rnacentral:rRNA from 1 species